UUGCUCGGCGUGCCUAUACAUGCAAGUCGAGCGAACAGACAAGGAGCUUGCUCCUUUGACGUUAGCGGCGGACGGGUGAGUAACACGUGGGUAACCUACCUAUAAGACUGGGAUAACUUCGGGAAACCGGAGCUAAUACCGGAUAAUAUUUCGAACCGCAUGGUUCGAUAGUGAAAGAUGGUUUUGCUAUCACUUAUAGAUGGACCCGCGCCGUAUUAGCUAGUUGGUAAGGUAACGGCUUACCAAGGCAACGAUACGUAGCCGACCUGAGAGGGUGAUCGGCCACACUGGAACUGAGACACGGUCCAGACUCCUACGGGAGGCAGCAGUAGGGAAUCUUCCGCAAUGGGCGAAAGCCUGACGGAGCAACGCCGCGUGAGUGAUGAAGGUCUUCGGAUCGUAAAACUCUGUUAUUAGGGAAGAACAUACGUGUAAGUAACUGUGCACGUCUUGACGGUACCUAAUCAGAAAGCCACGGCUAACUACGUGCCAGCAGCCGCGGUAAUACGUAGGUGGCAAGCGUUAUCCGGAAUUAUUGGGCGUAAAGCGCGCGUAGGCGGUUUUUUAAGUCUGAUGUGAAAGCCCACGGCUCAACCGUGGAGGGUCAUUGGAAACUGGAAAACUUGAGUGCAGAAGAGGAAAGUGGAAUUCCAUGUGUAGCGGUGAAAUGCGCAGAGAUAUGGAGGAACACCAGUGGCGAAGGCGACUUUCUGGUCUGUAACUGACGCUGAUGUGCGAAAGCGUGGGGAUCAAACAGGAUUAGAUACCCUGGUAGUCCACGCCGUAAACGAUGAGUGCUAAGUGUUAGGGGGUUUCCGCCCCUUAGUGCUGCAGCUAACGCAUUAAGCACUCCGCCUGGGGAGUACGACCGCAAGGUUGAAACUCAAAGGAAUUGACGGGGACCCGCACAAGCGGUGGAGCAUGUGGUUUAAUUCGAAGCAACGCGAAGAACCUUACCAAAUCUUGACAUCCUUUGACCAUCUAGAGAUAGAGCUUUCCCCUUCGGGGGACAAAGUGACAGGUGGUGCAUGGUUGUCGUCAGCUCGUGUCGUGAGAUGUUGGGUUAAGUCCCGCAACGAGCGCAACCCUUAAGCUUAGUUGCCAUCAUUAAGUUGGGCACUCUAAGUUGACUGCCGGUGACAAACCGGAGGAAGGUGGGGAUGACGUCAAAUCAUCAUGCCCCUUAUGAUUUGGGCUACACACGUGCUACAAUGGACAAUACAAAGGGCAGCGAAACCGCGAGGUCAAGCAAAUCCCAUAAAGUUGUUCUCAGUUCGGAUUGUAGUCUGCAACUCGACUACAUGAAGCUGGAAUCGCUAGUAAUCGUAGAUCAGCAUGCUACGGUGAAUACGUUCCCGGGUCUUGUACACACCGCCCGUCACACCACGAGAGUUUGUAACACCCGAAGCCGGUGGAGUAACCAUUUGGAGCUAGCCGUCGAAGGUGGACAAAUGAUUA
rnacentral:rRNA from 1 species